CCUCUGAAGCAUUUCCCCUGGGAGGCCCCCAGUGCUGUCACUAAGUGAUGUGAGGAUGCAUGCACUUCUCUUUGGGGCCAAAGGCACUCAUGGUGCGCAUGCUGUCUCACACAGCGGUUCUCCCUCGGCCAAGACACCUAUUGGGCACCUAUUGAGGCAGUGUUCCUGCUCUCAAGGACCAGAGUCAGCGCUUUGCAGACUGACUCUUCUUUUCAAACCAUCACAGAUGGAUGUGAAUUUUCUUCUUGAAGAUAUUCUAAACCAGGAAAGCGAUGCUCUAAUAUUUUUCUCAAGAUACUUUUAUUGAAUGGAAUAUUUUCUGUUGUAUUUGAAGCCACUUGUCCUUCCUCAAUUCUGUGCAAGCACUGAAAAGUACUAAUUAGGAUAUCCCUGUUCGAUCUGUCCAUUUGUUAAUAGACUCUGAUGUGUGUUUUGUGGAUAAAGAUGAGAGUAACAUCAACAAUAAUAAUUUUGUCAGUACUCUGUCAUAUGAGUGAAUCAUGUUCCCCAACAGUGGUGCGCACAGCAGGUCAGUGUAUGAUUGACUGGCCUCCAUACCUUUUCUUCGUUAGCUUUGUUUAGUCAUGCCGUCUCCACCUUGCAUUGAUAUUUUUGAGAUUUUGAUUGUAAAGGGCAUUUCCUUCUACAUACCCUCUACAGAUGUUAUAGUACAUUUUCUAGCACCUUUAUUAUGGUGGUCUAGUGGUUAAAAUCUGGUGCUCUCACCGCCAUGGCCCAGUUGUCAUACUGUAGCAACUAUGUUGCUGUGAGGCUGAAAGUUAUGCCACUGGUGUUUCAUAUACCAGCAGGGUCAUCUUUCAGCAGAGUGUCCAGACUAAGACAGACUAGGAAGAAGGAACUGGCAACCCAUUUCUGAAAAAACUGCCCAAGAAAACCCUAUGAAUAGCAGCCAAGCAUUGUGUGAUAUAGCAUGGAAUGGUGAGAGGAUGGCGCAAAAAGACAGGCAGGAUUCCACUCUGCUAUACACAGUGUCACUAGGAGUCAGAAUUGACUCCACGACACUAACAACAAAAACCUUUAUUAUAAUUUUCCACGGCCGUAGAAACACUGAUUUAUAUCUUUUAAAGCAGUGGCAAACCUACUUCUUGGAUGUUUCUUUUUAAAAUGUAAAUUAAGAAUUUGAUUCAAUAAUCAAUUAAUAUGCAAAUGCUUAUGGA